GGGGACGCUCUUCAGCCAGGGAGGUGUAGGACAAAGGAGGCCUCUGCUGCUGUGAGAGAACGCAUUUCUGUUGUUUGAAGCUACCCAGGUUGCAGUGCCCCCUUCGUUGUGGGAGCCCUGGGAGACUGCCAUGCCAGUCCCCAGGAACACAGUGUACUCACGGCUUCGGGACAAAAAUCUGGAAGCAGGGAGGCCACUCUCAUUUAAACUGAGAUCUGAGUGAUGAAGGGAGCGGACAGAAGGAACGGUUCAAAGGCCCUGAGUCUGAUCAUUACAUCGCCCUUCGGUCUGCUCAUAAACUGACUUGGAAAUGCAGCCUGUCAUUCAGUUGUCCCCUGUCUGUGACAAAUUAUUGGUCAUCUGGCUCCACAUCUGUACGCGUGCCACAUGUGGACAUUCUUCCUGAAGGUACAGAUAAAUUAAAUAAAUACUCCCUGAGUGCUUGCCAUGUGCCUGAUUCUGUGUCCUAUGUGGGUGAGACAGAUGAUGAUGAAGGGCUGAUGACCGCCCCAGGAGCCAGAGUGGGUCCUUUUUCAUCAUCAUCAUCACCAUCAUCACCACCACCACCGCCAUCACUGCCAGUCUGUGCACACUGUCCAGUCUGGUUAUCCACAUGGGGACCGUUCCUUUAUGGACUUUCCUGCCCAAUCCAGGCUGUUCUGUGUAUGCAUAAAUAAUGCAGACUUAUUUUAACUUGGUCUUAGAUAAAGUGUGGGUAGAAAAAUAUAUCUGCUGGCAACCAUCUUAUGCAUCAAGUAACAAACCCUAAAUUUAAAUGGAAAUUAUUUUUAGGUUGUCUGGGCAGAUAGCACGGAAGAUGGGGACUCCAGAGAUAUGACA